rnacentral:rRNA from 1 species
UGAGGAACAUGACCUUCGGCGGGGGAUAGCCGGCCCAACGGCCGGGUAAUACCGCGUACGACCUUCCGGGGACAUCCCUGGAUGGUGAAAGCAGCAAUGCGCCGAUGGAGUGCCUCGCGGCCUAUCGGCUAGUUGGUGAGGUAACGGCUCACCAAGGCGACGACGGGUAGCUGGUCUGAGAGGAUGGCCAGCCACAUUGGGACUGAGACACGGCCCAGACUCCGUACGGGAGGNAGCG